CACUUUGUGGUCUGGUCGCGUGGCCCAACCUUCAAAUGUAUGAUCUGAGUUUUGGUCACUUGCAACAGAGAGAGGGGAUCCUGCCCCGACCAGAGCUGCCCCAACAAACCAGGGUGGGUGAAGGAGAGCAGCAUUUAUUGGGCGCCUACAGUCUUCCAGACUCUGUGCUAAGGAUCUUUUGCACUUCUUUGAUCCACACCACAGCCCUGCAAGGGGACCUUCAGAAUCUUUCUAAGACAAUCCAAAUGGAAGCAACUCGGUUUCCUGGCCCGGCCCUGGUAGACUGUCCAGAUUUCCCAGGAAUGUGACGAUGAGCUCUAUAGACCUUCAGCUGGAUAAAGAGCCUACUAAGCUCUUCUCUCCCACACUUUCCUCCGCACCCUCCCCAACACCGAGCUAGCUCUGGCAAUGUACGCGGCAACCUCAGCUCUCUGUUCAUCCCUGGAAGGCGUUCUUCCAAGGUGAAUUUAUUGCACUGAGGAAUACAUAUCUAAGCAUCCACCUGUGGAGUCUGGGAGAUCCAGAGUUCUAUCAAAGGCACCAUGAAGGACCAGCGGCCAUGACAGGAGCUGCUGGAGAUGGUAGCAAUGGCUGCCGGCAUGUUACUGACCAAUGGCAGAUGAAGGACUUGAAAAGGACCAGAGCACAGUAGAAGCUUGGGAGAUUUUGACAAGAUAACAUAGCAGCAUUCAGUGUGUGGACUCUAGAAAUACACAGCUCCUGGGAGCCCAGCCCACAGUCAAAGGAAAAUCAUGAGGACCCUGGAGAGGCAGAAAAGGACUGCUCGUGUCAACACUUCCAAGAUACUCUUUGCCACCAAACUUCCGCGUGGACAUGUCUCACAGGUGGAGUCUAC